GAGAGUCUCUGCAAUCAGGGACAAAUUGCUUUGCAGUGUGUGAGAGAGAGAGAGCGAUGCACACAGGCCUUUGCAUUCAGCGCAGGUAAACACCACUUCAUGGCUCCUCCUCAUCAUCAUCCAUCUAUCUUCUCUGUCAUCAGCAGCUUUUUCCUGUUUCACAAACUGACCUUCUUCUGAUGAGGAGUUAAAACUUUGCAUCUGUGUGCAGACUGAAGACAGGCGACUUGAGCUCAACGCCGCCGCAGGAAAACAGAGCUACGCCGCUCACCUGCUACUCCCACGCAGACAACUCACCUUUUCCAUGCCAGCCAUCCUCCAGCACGUAUUUCCUGAAACAACUGGGACCCCCAACAUUCCCCCAA